rnacentral:rRNA from 1 species
AGAGUUGAUCAUGGCUCAGGACGAACGCUGGCGGCAUGCCUAAUACAUGCAAGUCGAACGAGCUGACAGAGUGCUUGCACUCUCGACGCGAGUGGCGGACGGGUGAGUAACACGUGGGAAACCUACCUGUAAGUAGGGGAUAACAUUCGGAAACGGAUGCUAAUACCCUAUAGGUUUCAGUUCCGCAUGGAACUGAAAGGAAAGACGGCUUUGCUGUCGCUUACAGAUGGUCCCGCGGCGCAUUAGCUAGUUGGUGGGAUAAAAGCUCACCAAGGCUGUGAUGCGUAGCCGACCUGAGAGGGUAACCGGCCACACUGGGACUGAGACACGGCCCAGACUCCUACGGGAGGCAGCAGUAGGGAAUCUUCCGCAAUGGACGAAAGUCUGACGGAGCAAUGCCGCGUGAAUGAAGAAGGUCUUCGGAUCGUAAAAUUCUGUUGUUAGAGAAGAACAAGGAGUAGGUAACUACUACUCCCUUGACGGUAUCUAACCAGAAAGCCACGGCUAACUACGUGCCAGCAGCCGCGGUAAUACGUAGGUGGCAAGCGUUGUCCGGAUUUAUUGGGCGUAAAGGGAGCGCAGGCGGUGACUUAAGUCUGAUGUGAAAGCCCACGGCUCAACCGUGGAAGGUCAUUGGAAACUGGGUCACUUGAAUAUAGAAGAGGAAAGUGGAAUUCCAUGUGUAGCGGUGAAAUGCGUAGAUAUAUGGAGGAACACCAGUGGCGAAGGCGACUUUCUGGUCUAUUAUUGACGCUGAGGCUCGAAAGCAUGGGAGCAAAC